AUUGAACGCUGGCGGCAUGCCUUACACAUGCAAGUCGAACGGUAACAGGUCUUCGGAUGCUGACGAGUGGCGAACGGGUGAGUAAUACAUCGGAACGUGCCCGAUCGUGGGGGAUAACGAAGCGAAAGCUUUGCUAAUACCGCAUAAGAUCUAUGGAUGAAAGCAGGGGACCGCAAGGCCUUGCGCGAACGGAGCGGCCGAUGGCAGAUUAGGUAGUUGGUGGGAUAAAAGCUUACCAAGCCGACGAUCUGUAGCUGGUCUGAGAGGACGACCAGCCACACUGGGACGGAGACACGGCCCAGACUCCUACGGGAGGCAGCAGUGGGGAAUUUUGGACAAUGGGCGAAAGCCUGAUCCAGCCAUGCCGCGUGCAGGAUGAAGGCCUUCGGGUUGUAAACUGCUUUUGUACGGAACGAAAAGACUCUUUCUAAUAAAGAGGGUCCAUGACGGUACCGUAAGAAUAAGCACCGGCUAACUACGUGCCAGCAGCCGCCGUAA
rnacentral:rRNA from 1 species